CACUCUAAGUAGAGAUUGAUAGAUGAUUCUGGUAAGAGCUCAUAAGACCAGAAUAUUGAUAGAAAUGUUGACAAUAAAAGCCAAUAUCAGGAGUAUCCCAUUAGGAAGAUGACAAAAAGACAUUCAUGUUAUAUUUUGGCAAAAUAUUUGAUUAUCUUUUGCUCACGUCUUUGCAGAAAGCUGAGAUUAAGGGCUUUCAUCACUCUGAUGGAGAAAAUUCCAGUCUAACCUAUUGUUCAUGCUGUGGCUUCGCUACUUCUGACGUUUUGUCAGCUGAUGGACUUGGAACUGCUGAGGAGAUUAAUAAAGCCCUGGAAAACUUCCAGCACUUCUCCAAAGUGAAAGUGAUCGUGAAAGGUAAACAUUUGGAAUUGAUUCACGAUAUCAAGAGAGUCCCAACAGUGCAACUAAAGACAUUCAAGGAAAAGGACUUGCAGAACUGCUUCAGAAAGUAUCAAGAACAAUGGGAAAAGUGUCUUUCAAACAAGGGCAUCUUCAUAUGAAAGACAUUUAAACAAGCUUCAAAGUGGUUUGCCCAAGAGAGAAGGUUUCCUUGCAAUUAAGAAGAACACUUACCAUUCUGCCAUCUGUGCCGUCUGAUGGGUUUUUACGCAUACUGCUUUCAGAUAUGCAUCUUCCUCUUCUACUUUUUGUGUAUCGACUACAGAUUUUUAUCACCCUUUGUGAGUAU
rnacentral:lncRNA from 1 species